rnacentral:rRNA from 1 species
CCAAUAGCGUAUAUUAAAGUUGUUGCAGUUAAAAAGCUCGUAGUUGAAUUUCGGGAUCAAUAUGUCGGUCGUGCCUCCGGUACGUACUGGCGUCAUUGGUUUCUCCCUUCUGAUGAACCACGAUGUCAUUAAUUUGGUGUCAUGGGGAAUCAGGACUGUUACUUUGAAAAAAUUAGAGUGUUUAAAGCAGGCUCACGCUUGAAUACAUUAGCAUGGAAUAAUGAAAUAGGACGUUUGAUUCUAUUUUGUUGGUUUCUAGGAUCGACGUAAUGAUUAAUAGGGAUAGUUGGGGGCAUUAGUAUUCAAUUGUCAGAGGUGAAAUUCUUGGAUUUAUUGAAGACUAACUACUGCGAAAGCAUUUGCCAAGGAUGUUUUCAUUAAUCAAGAACGAAAGUUAGGGGAUCGAAGACGAUCAGAUACCGUCGUAGUCUUAACCAUAAACUAUGCCGACUAGGGAUCGGAUGAUGUUAAUUUUUUAAUGACUCAUUCGGCGCCUUACG